AGCUCCAUAGGAAUGAAGACAUAACUACCAGUUCAUUUAAAAAUUAAAUCAAAACAGGACAAGCAGCUAAGUAUAUCAUAAACAGCACUCUUCAUUUCAUUCUUAGCAUGGAGGAUCUACAUCACAUUGAACGGAGAAUGUGUGUCUGGAAGUGAGUUACAAUAGAAGAAGAAGAAGAAGAAGAAGGUUAGCUUCACUGAAGAGUUAUUUAACACAGCAAUAGCAUGUACAACAGCAUCUACCAGUCAUACAGUGAGUAUUUGAAACCAAAGCACUCAGUAAAUUUCAACAGAGAACAAACGGCACAGCAAAACAAACUCCCAACAGCUAAUUAAACCCUAAAAAUGUUCAAAAUCCACAACCAAACCCUUGAACCUUCGAGUCACUAGAUCUGAGUUCAAACUAAGCUGCUUCAAACUAAGCCAAACUCUCUUAAACUAUAAGAUGUGAGAAAGUGAGCUAGCAAUCUAAAUCUGCAGAAAGGGAUUAAUGAAACAGUAACAUUUUUUUAAUUUUUUCCUGAAUUUUUGUUUGUUUUGGUUUUUGAAAUUUGAAUUCCUAUUUCAGAUGAAAAGUAAAACUGAUGAGAGAGUUUGGAG
rnacentral:lncRNA from 1 species